rnacentral:rRNA from 1 species
GAUGAACGCUGGCGGCGUGCCUAAUACAUGCAAGUCGAGCGAAUGGAUUAAGAGCUUGCUCUUAUGAAGUUAGCGGCGGACGGGUGAGUAACACGUGGGUAACCUGCCCAUAAGACUGGGAUAACUCCGGGAAACCGGGGCUAAUACCGGAUAACAUUUUGAACCGCAUCGUUCGCAAUUGACAGUCGGCUUCGGCUGUCACUUAUGGAUGGACCCGGGUCGCAUGAGCUAGUUGGGGAGGUAACGGCUCACCAAGGCAACGAUGCGUAGCCGACCUGAGAGGGUGAUCGGCCACACUGGGACUGAGACACGGCCCAGACUCCUACGGGAGGCAGCAGUAGGGAAUCUUCCGCAAUGGACGAAAGUCUGACGGAGCAACGCCGCGUGAGUGAUGAAGGCUUUCGGGUCGUAAAACUCUGUUGUUAGGGAAGAACAAGUGCUAGUUGAAUAAGCUGGCACCUUGACGGUACCUAACCAGAAAGCCACGGCUAACUACGUGCCAGCAGCCGCCGUAA